GUAGAUAUCACUAGGAAUACCGAAAGCGAAGGCGAUCUCCUGGAACAUUACUGACGCUGAGGCGUGAAAGCGUGGGGAGCAAACAGGAUUAGAUACCCUGGUAGUCCACGCCCUAAACGAUGAAUGCUAGUCGUCGGAAAGCUCGUCUUUUCGGUGAUGCAGUUAACACAUUAAGCAUUCCGCCUGGGGAGUACGGUCGCAAGAUUAAAACUCAAAGGAAUAGACGGGGACCCGCACAAGUGGUGGAGCAUGUGGUUUAAUUCGAAGAUACGCGAAGAACCUUACCUGGCCUUGACAUUGAUAGAAUCUGGCAGAGAUGCCGGAGUGCCUUUCGGGGAACUUGAAAACAGGUGCUGCACGGCUGUCGUCAGCUCGUGUCGUGAGAUGUUGGGUUAAGUCCCGCAACGAGCGCAACCCUCGUCCUUAGUUGCUAACAGGUUAAGCUGAGCACUCUAAGGAGACUGCCUUCGCAAGGAGGAGGAAGGUGAGGACGACGUCAAGUCAUCAUGGCCCUUACGGCCAGGGCUACACACGUGCUACAAUGGGGCGUACAGAGAGUUGCGAUACCGCGAGGUGGAGCCAAUCUCACAAAGCGUCUCUCAGUUCGGAUUGUUCUCUGCAACUCGAGAACAUGAAGCUGGAAUCACUAGUAAUCGUAGAUCAGCAACGCUACGGUGAAUACGUUCCCGGGUCUUGUACUCACCGCCCGUCACACCAUGGGAGUUGAUUUCGCCCGAAGCGGGGAUGCCAAACUGGCUACCCUCUACGGCGGAAUUAGCGACUGGGGUGAAGUCGUAACAAGGUA
rnacentral:rRNA from 1 species